rnacentral:siRNA from 1 species
CAGGUGUCGAAGUCAGUGAGCUU